rnacentral:misc_RNA from 1 species
UGUAUUGAACAUAUUUGCACCAAAAAUUCCUCUACUCUUGCCCAUAUGAGUCAAAAAAAGACGCCACAAUGAUAAACCAUCAAAUACUCAAAUUCCACAUUUCAAAAAGUCAAUGAUGUCCUAAAGCAUAAACCCCUCUUCAAUUUACCCUAACUCCAAUUGGAACCAGAUAUCAACCAAAUGAACAACAAAAGAAUAACCCUGAGUUCAAUUGAAAGCAAUUCGGAAAAAACAAAACUUGCAUUUAUCCUCCACGAAAAUGGAACAAAUUCAACAGCCAA